UUUUCAUAUGUACCUGAUGUCCAGUACCAGCGGCUGUUGGCUAUGGGGCUCAGAAAGGCACAGCAAUGGUGAUCAACAAACCAAGAGAGACAAAGAAGGAGAAAACUGGAAAACUCCUGGAAUGUAAGAUAGAUGAAGCCUUCCCAGGAGCUCAAGGGUAAAAUGAAAGCCUUGCAGGAAUAUUUCCAAAAAUUACAGGAGUGCAGACAGAAGGAGCAUCAGCUUCUCAGAGCAGACCUGGAGAUGAACCAAGGAAAGGAGGGGAACUUUGCAAGGGUCCUGUUAUCUAGGAAGGAUAAAGAAAUCCAUAUACACUCCCAAAGAAUUCAGACUCUGCAAAAAGAUGUACAAGAAUGGCCAGGGACCACAAAGUCUGAGCUUGAAUUUCUCAGAGCAUACCUGGAGAAGAACCAAGGAAAGGAAGAGGAGGAAAUUUCAAGGGCCCUGGUAUCCAGCAUGACUUUGAAAUUCCAGCAGCUCUUUCAAAGAAUUGAAAGUUUGGAAGAGGAUUUACAGGAAUUGCUGAAGUCAUCACAGCAUGAGUUUCAGCUUCUCAGAGCAGGGCAGAAGUAACAAGGCAUGGUUGUAGGAAGGUGCAUAAGAAGACGAGUGGUGCAAUACAAACACACAGACAACUUCUGCAUGGAUGAAAUCUUGAUCACUGAGCAAAAUGGCAGUCUGGAAUCAAUUCACGAGUUUUUGGAGAAAUCAUUAUAAUGUGUUGUCUCUAUCGCUUUAUUUCAUACUUCUGGUUGUGGUUGAAGAAAUAAUGGAGCUGGAAUGGAAAGGUCCUCAGAAAAGUCAUUCAAGAAGUUGUAUGUUGCUUCCUACUUUUUCCGUCCAGCCUUCAUUACAUUUUUCCUGAGCUUGACCUCCCAGCCUGCCUGCAUUUCCAGGGCUCACUGUGUGGGGAAAUGCUCAUGCUGCAGGAAGAGUGAGAUAAUUUUUAGGGCAUUCACCUCCUGUGAUUUGGUUUCUAAUCCUCCUGUGUCAUGGCAGAUACAUCGACCGUGUGGUACCAACAAAAGAUGGAAACAGCAGCCAAAGGCCACCCAAAGCAGAGCAGCUGCAAGACCCAGCAAGUUCUACACCAAAUCUCAGGGAAGAGUCCUGGAAAUCUUGGACUUCGAGUAUUCUAGCACUCCAUGUAUACAAAGAAUCUGGGAUGUACUGCAGUAUGGGAACCAUUUCAUCUGGAGAAUGAAGUGUUCAGUUGCAGUUAUGAUUUUUAUGUUGCAUGUUUACUACAUUCACAUUACCCAUCUUCUUUUCUGCUUCUGUUUUUUAAUAAAUGUAUAUCAAAUACAAGUUUAUAUUUAGCAUGUUCCUUCUGAGGCUGAAAUAUGAACUGAAUGUCUUGAUCCCGGGUAACUGGAAACUUACACAUGUGUUUUGUGUCUGGUUCUUAAAGCAAGAUUUCUGAAUAUAAGAAAUUAGAUAAUGCACUGAGGAGA